CAGAGUAAGACUUUGAGCGUGUGAGUUUUCACGGAGUGUCCGGCGAACGGGGAGUUGUCGUCGGAACGAACGUUUUUCUUUCCGAGAAUUACGGCGAUUCGGGGUCUGCAUCCCGCUGU
rnacentral:ncRNA from 1 species